ACCAUGCAGUCGAGCGGAUGAAGGAGCUUGCUCCUGGAUUCAGCGGCGGACGGGUGAGUAAUGCCUAGGAAUCUGCCUGGUAGUGGGGGACAACGUUUCGAAAGGAACGCUAAUACCGCAUACGUCCUACGGGAGAAAGCAGGGGACCUUCGGGCCUUGCGCUAUCAGAUGAGCCUAGGUCGGAUUAGCUAGUUGGUGAGGUAAUGGCUCACCAAGGCGACGAUCCGUAACUGGUCUGAGAGGAUGAUCAGUCACACUGGAACUGAGACACGGUCCAGACUCCUACGGGAGGCAGCAGUGGGGAAUAUUGGACAAUGGGCGAAAGCCUGAUCCAGCCAUGCCGCGUGUGUGAAGAAGGUCUUCGGAUUGUAAAGCACUUUAAGUUGGGAGGAAGGGUUGUAGAUUAAUACUCUGCAAUUUUGACGUUACCGACAGAAUAAGCACCGGCUAACUCUGUGCCAGCAGCCGCGGUAAUACAGAGGGUGCAAGCGUUAAUCGGAAUUACUGGGCGUAAAGCGCGCGUAGGUGGUUCGUUAAGUUGGAUGUGAAAUCCCCGGGCUCAACCUGGGAACUGCAUCCAAAACUGGCGAGCUAGAGUAUGGUAGAGGGGUGGUGGAAUUUCCUGUGUAGCGGUGAAAUGCGUAGAUAUA
rnacentral:rRNA from 1 species